AUUGAACGCUGGCGGCAUGCCUUACACAUGCAAGUCGAACGGCAGCACGGGAGCAAUCCUGGUGGCGAGUGGCGAACGGGUGAGUAAUAUAUCGGAACGUGCCCAGUCGUGGGGGAUAACGUAGCGAAAGCUACGCUAAUACCGCAUACGAUCUACGGAUGAAAGCGGGGGAUCGCAAGACCUCGCGCGAUUGGAGCGGCCGAUAUCAGAUUAGGUAGGUGGUGGGGUAAAGGCUCACCAAGCCGACGAUCUGUAGCCGGUUUGAGAGGACGACCAGCCACACUGGGACUGAGACACGGCCCAGACUCCUACGGGAGGCAGCAGUGGGGAAUUUUGGACAAUGGGCGCAAGCCUGAUCCAGCAAUGCCGCGUGCAGGAUGAAGGCCUUCGGGUUGUAAACUGCUUUUGUACGGAACGAAACGGCGAGUUCUAAUACAGUUUGCUAAUGACGGUACCGUAAGAAUAAGCACCGGCUAACUACGUGCCAGCCGCCGCCGUAA
rnacentral:rRNA from 1 species